GAAUUCCUAAAUAAUAGAACUCUAUACUUCCUAAUUUCACAAUGAAAAGUUAAAUCAACAUAAUUCCUAUAUUGAAUCCUUCCUUGACUGCAUAAGCCUAUCUGACCAUCCAUAGUCAGCACAAAGUCACUACCUAUCUAUGAUCAGAUCAAAAGAAUAUAUUUCCCAAUUCAUUAACCACAUCUUCCUGACAUAGAUAAGUUGCCAAUGGUCCCCUCAUACUAAGAGGGUGUUUGUUUUAGCUUAUAAGCUGGUCAAAUCAGUUUAUAAGCUCUAAAAAUAAGUUUACAUAUAUGUUUACAACAUUUUUUGGACUUAUAAGUUGAACUUAUAAGUAAAAAAAGACCGACUUUUCAUUUUGAUAUGCUUAUAAGUCAUGUGCUUAUAAACUAGUUUGACCAAAUAUUUUACUAUAUUAUCCUCUUUCAAUUUUUAAAAUUUCACCACAUAUUUCAUUUAAUAUUCUUUUUAGUAAUUUUAAAAAUAAAUGUGAAUAUAAAAUAUUUUUUACCAAAUGUAUUAUCUACUUAUCAGCCAGACAGCCACUUAUAAAAAUUUUAACCAAAAACAUAGUUGUUUAAAAUUUGAAAUACUUAAAAGCUUGUAUUAAGCUAAUUUUUUAUAAGUUAAGCCAAACAUCCUAUGACAUCCCAAAUAAUGAACAAAAAGUGACAAGAAUUUAAGUUAUAAGCAAGUAAUCCUAAAAAUACAAAUCCUUACCAUUUAUAAGUAGCAACUUUUGUAGCAAUAGAACAAGUAACAAAUUCCAAUAAUCAGCUAAUAAGGCAUCACAUAGAUAAGUUGCCUAAAGUCCCCUCAUGCUAAAUGACAUCCAAAUAAUGGACAAAUGUAAAGAGAAUUUAAGUUAUUGGCAAGUGAUCAAAAAA
rnacentral:misc_RNA from 1 species